rnacentral:lncRNA from 1 species
CUCUGUUGGGACCAUGAAAUCCCUGGGAAGGGACCUCUGGCAGUCAUCUGCUCCAUCAUCUGCCUCUCACAAGGAUCAGCUCGACUGCACUGUUCCUGGAGGUCACCCUUACAGACCCCCAGUGGCAGACUCCCUGGCCUCCCCAGGAAAUCUCGAUGUAAUUGAGCACUUCCUCAGCCAAAGCAUUAGCUGCCUGCUUCUGCUAAAGAGCUCCACUGGCUGAGGCAGCCUCACCCACGUCCGCUGCCAGCUGAAGCAAUAUUGGUUAAGGAAUUUGGACAGCAAAGGAAACCUUAAAUCGGAUGGCAAUCAGUCAUGGUCGUGCUGUUCCCAGUCAUGCUCUGUGGAGUCCAGAGGAUGUCAGCUUCAACACUAAUACUGAGGGAGGUGAACCUUGUCGGGAUCAGCCAAGGAUUUCAUCAGUGCAAGCAAGUCUGCUGCAAAGACAGCCUCUGCAUGCACCAACAUGCGUGCGGGUGAGGUGGCUGAUACUACACCAGGACAGAACUGUGCAAUCAGGAAAACACCAGCAUGACCAGAGAGAGAGACCACCAAGCAAACCAACAAUUUUUACUUUAAGCGUUUCAGUGCAUUUUGAGCUCCACUUACAUGUUUCUGACUUUGGGUCCACUUGGAUUCCCUUUUUCUAAUUUUAAACCUAUACAACCUUAUUAAUACGACGCAAUGUCUACGGUACAUAUACUGCAGAUGGAGAACACUGCGGUUCAGAUUCAUGCCACCUAAACUCCACUUAAGUUUCAGUGUUUGAAGUUUUCCACUGCUGAUUUGAAGCCUUUACUUGCGGCCAGUUAUUACAAAACUCAAGGCACAGAGGCAAAUCUGAAGUGUGAAACUAUCUUCAGCUCUCACUUGGAAGAUCACGCCAUAAUAAAGGCAGCACUAAAAAGAGCUGAAGAGCUAGG